rnacentral:rRNA from 1 species
AGGGUUUGAUCAUGGCUCAGAACGUACGCUGGCGGCACGCCUAAUACAUGCAAGUCGAACGAAGUAGCAAUACUUAGUGGCAGACGGGUGAGUAACAUGUGGGUAUCUUCCCUUUGGUGAGGAAUAACACGAGGAAACUUGUGCUAAUACCUCAUAAGUCUUUACGGAGAAAGCUUUAUGCGCCAAUGGAUGAGCCCGCACUUGAUUAGUUUGUUGGUGAGGUAAUGGCUCACCAAGACUUUGAUCAAUAGCUGAUUUGAGAGGAUGAUCAGCCACAUUGGGACUGAGACACGGCCCAAACUCCUACGGGAGGCAGCAGUAGGGAAUCUUGCACAAUGGGGGAAACCCUGAUGCAGCGAUGCCGCGUGAGUGAAGAAGGCCUUUGGGUUGUAAAGCUCUUUCGUCGGGGAAGAAAAUGACUGUACCCGAAUAAGAAGGUCCGGCUAACUUCGUGCCAGCAGCCGCGGUAAUACGAAGGGACCUAGCGUAGUUCGGAAUUACUGGGCUUAAAGAGUUCGUAGGUUGUUAAAAAAGUUGGUGGUGAAAUCCCAGAGCUUAACUCUGGAACUGCCAUCAAAACUUUUUAGCUAGAGUUUGAUAGAGGAAAGCAGAAUUUCUAGUGUAGAGGUGAAAUUCGUAGAUAUUAGAAAGAAUACCAAUUGCGAAGGCAGCUUUCUGGAUCAUUACUGACACUGAGGAACGAAAGCAUGGGUAGCGAAGAGGAUUAGAUACCCUCGUAGUCCAUGCCGUAAACGAUGUGUGUUAGACGUUGGAAAUUUAUUUUCAGUGUCACAGCGAAAGCAAUAAACACACCGCCUGGGGAGUACGACCGCAAGGUUAAAACUCAAAUGAAUUGACGGGGACCCGCACAAGUAGUGGAGCAUGUGGUUUAAUUCGAAGAUACGCGCAGAACCUUACCAACACUUGACAUGUUCGUCGCGACUUUAAGAGAUUAAAGUUUUCGGUUCGGCCGGACGAAACACAGGUGCUGCAUGGCUGUCGUCAGCUCGUGUCGUGAGAUGUUGGGUUAAGUCCCGCAACGAGCGCAACCCUCACUUUUAGUUGCCAUCAUUUAGUUGGGCACUCUGAAAGAACUGCCAGUGAUAAGCUGGAGGAAGGUGGGGAUGACGUCAAGUCCUCAUGGCCCUUACGUGUUGGGCUACACACGUGCUACAAUGGCAUUUACAACAGGAAGCAAAACGGCGACGUUAAGCAAAUCCUAAAAAAAUGCCUCAGUUCGGAUUGUACUCUGCAACUCGAGUACAUGAAGCUGGAAUUACUAGUAAUCGCGGAUCAGCGCGCCGCGGUGAAUACGUUCCCGGGUCUUGUACACACCGCCCGUCACACCAUGGGAGUUGGUUCUACCUUAAGGCAAAGGUUAAAAACUUUGACCACGGUAUAGUCAGCGACUGGGGUGAAGUCAUAACAAGGUAACCGUA